AAAUCCUAUACUGCAUAUCUAAUUUAAACGGACGCUCAAAAUCAGAUAAUGCAUAUCUAAAUUGAAAUGGACGAUCAAAACCAUAUAUUGCAUAAUUCAAUUUAUUAUUUUUUAACAACUAAAUUUAUAACUGAUGACUUAUUUUUCAUGACCAGACUCCUAAUCCAAUUGUUAAACCCAGAGCAGUCACAUAUGGCAAUGUUGCCUUUACUCUAUUCCAUAUGAAAAAUUAAGACUAAUUCUAACUUCGGUCCUUAAUAACUGGACAGACUGUCUUUGACCAAUUCUCUGAAAGUAAUCGUAUAAUAAUGGCCUCUUUGUUUCACAGAAAUAUCUGCCGUCAAGUCCCAACUUCACCAUUCUGUCCAUGAACACAACAAGUAAAAUGUCGGCUGAGUUAAAAUCUGGACCGGUCAACCAAAACUCGUCUCCUUUACAU
rnacentral:lncRNA from 1 species